ACGGCGAUAAGGGGAGCGAGUGCCAGCAUAUUAUGUUGGCUGUCCACGUGUGUAAACGGCAUGUGUUAGCAAGGGCCGGGCAAGACCGGUGCCAGCCGCCGCGGUAACACCGGCGGCCCGAGUGGUAAUCACUUUUAUUGGGUCUAAAGGGUCCGUAGCCGGUUUGAUCAGUUCUUCGGGAAAUCUGACAGCUCAACUGUUAGGCUUCCGGGGAAUACUGUCAGACUUGGGACCGGGAGAGGUAAGAGGUACUACAGGGGUAGGAGUGAAAUCUUGUAAUCCCUGUGGGACCACCAGUGGCGAAGGCGUCUUACCAGAACGGGUCCGACGGUGAGGGACGAAAGCUGGGGGCACGAACCGGAUUAGAUACCCGGGUAGUCCCAGCCGUAAACGAUGUUCGCUAGGUGUCAGGGACGGUGCGACCGUUUCUGGUGCCGCAGGGAAGCCGUGAAGCGAACCACCUGGGAAGUACGGCCGCAAGGCUGAAACUUAAAGGAAUUGGCGGGGGAGCAC
rnacentral:rRNA from 1 species